CAAGGAAUAGUUUAAGAAAGAAUUUCAGCUUUGGGUGCU
rnacentral:tRNA from 1 species